UUAUCUGCCCAGUGAUAACUUUUAACGGCCGCAGUACCUUGACUGUGCAAAGGUAGCAUAAUCAUUUGACUUUUAAUUGGAGCCUAGAAUGAAAGAAAGCACGUAGACAACUUGUCUUAUUAAUAAUACUUUUAAAUUGCUGCAUGAGUGAAAAUACUCUUGAAUUAAAUAAUAGACGAGAAGACCCUUAGAAUUUUAAAAAGAAAUAAGCCAAUCUUAUAAAUUUUUUUGUUGGGGCAACAGUAUUUCACAAUAAAUAAAUAUUUACAUUAACCGGAUUAAAUCGAUUUUAAUAAUUAUAGAGAAAUUACCUAAGGGAUAACAGCAUAAUUUUAAUAAUAAGCUUGUGACCUCGAUGUUGGACUAGGUACUAUUAAGGCUAAUCGUUUUAA
rnacentral:rRNA from 1 species